GAAAUCCUGGGGUGUGCGAUAAUCCUAUUUAUUUUGAACCUACAUUACUUUAAACGGGAUUCCUAUAUUGCCGAUUUAAUGUCAAGCCGUCAUUGCGCAGCGGAAGACAGCGAGCCGGUUGCGGUUGCCCACCUAGCAUAAGCUAGGAGUCAGAAGAUAGGAAACGGCACUCUGGGAUUAAA
rnacentral:other from 8 species